rnacentral:rRNA from 1 species
GGGGAUGACGGUACCGGAAGAAUAAGCACCGGCUAACUACGUGCCAGCAGCCGCGGUAAUACGUAGGGUGCAAGCGUUAAUCGGAAUUACUGGGCGUAAAGCGUGCGCAGGCGGUUCGGUAAGACAGAUGUGAAAUCCCCGGGCUUAACCUGGGAACUGCAUUUGUGACUGGCGGGCUAGAGUAUGGCAGAGGGGGGUAGAAUUCCACGUGUAGCAGUGAAAUGCGUAGAGAUGUGGAGGAAUACCGAUGGCGAAGGCAGCCCCCUGGGCCAAUACUGACGCUCAUGCACGAAAGCGUGGGGAGCAAACAGGAUUAGAUACCCUGGUAGUCCACGCCCUAAACGAUGUCAACUAGUUGUCGGGUCUUCAUUGACUUGGUAACGUAGCUAACGCGUGAAGUUGACCGCCUGGGGAGUACGGUCGCAAGAUUAAAACUCAAAGGAAUUGACGGGGACCCGCACAAGCGGUGGAUGAUGUGGAUUAAUUCGAUGCAACGCGAAAAACCUUACCUACCCUUGACAUGUAUGGAACCCUGCUGAGAGGUGGGGGUGCCCGAAAGGGAGCCAUAACACAGGUGCUGC